CUGGAAGAUACUUGAAUCACAGGACUGAAUAAGGAAGAGCUGCCCUCAGCGUGGCCGGGCAACAUCUAAUCGGCUGAAAGCUUGGAUCGAAUGAAAAGGCAGAGGAAAGGUUCUGAAGACCUCAAAUGGACUGAGCCACACUACCAGCAUCCAGCAUCCAUGGUUCUCCAGUCUGCAGAUGGCCUAUUAUGGGACUUUUCAGUCUUCAUAAUUAUAUGAGAGAAAGAAAAUGAAAAGGAUUUGUAAACUAUAAAUCUCUAAACAGAUGGGAGGAAAGGAAUUGAUGAAACAAUAAAUUUAUUGAUGAAACAAUAAAAAUAAACAUAAAGAACCAAAGAGUCUUGUUCUGUUGUCCAGGCUGGAGUGCAAUGGCGUGAUCUUGGCUCACUGCAACCUCCCCGUCCC
rnacentral:lncRNA from 1 species